AUGGAAUACCGUCGGCAGUCAAUCACCAUGACGAAAAGAAGCCGUGGGACUGUCCUCGACGACCUCCCCGAGUGGAUUGUCAUCGAAGAGAUCCUCAUCCGGUUGCCACCAAAGGACGUUCUUCGCUGCCGUGCUGUCCGCAAAUUGUGGUGCAGUGCCACCUCCACCGACAAGUUCAUGCUCGACAACUGCCUACGCCAGCCGUCACUCCCUGUUAUCAACCAGGAUAUCCCUGGGCAGGAAGGAGUGACCUUCGUUGUCUUCCAUGACAACGGUGUCGGAGCCUCCAAUCAAAAGCUCUGGCCAAUCAUUCAACACUCUAAGUUCCAUAAUCUCCUGGGGGGCUGUGAUGGCUUUCUCAUCUUGUCCGAUGCAUCCCAUUUCUGGAUCUGCAAUCCGGCCACUCGCAGAUGUGCUCCGCUACCACAACCUCAAGUUCCAUCAGCAGGGGGGUCCUGCUUCUACAUAGCUGGCUUUUACCGGCACCAUCCAUCUGGAGAAUACCGCGUGCUCUGGUUCUCGCAUGGCCAUGAACGUGGCUACAUUCUCUCAGCAGGAUCUGACAAGCCGAGAAUGAUUAGACGGCCGUCAGUGUCAUCAUGUUUGUCGAAAUUUAGGCGUGAAGGGCCUUUUGAUUCCUGCUAUAGUUCACAAGUCAACCACCGCGGCAGCCUGCACUGGUUAACAGGAAUCUACAUGAAGACUGCUGUGGACAUUAUGGUGUUUGACACAAUUACUGAGACGUUCCGGUGGAUGCGCAGUCCUGACCAGUUGGGCUGCCGGGUGUCAUUGUUGGAGAUGGGCAACAGGCUUGCUUCAUGCAGCAACAAUGAUGGCAGCAUAGAGAUUUGGGUGAUGCAAGACUAUGAGGCUGAGGCCUGGGCCUUGAAUUACAGGAUUAACUUGGUAGCGAUGAAGACAUCACCAUAUUUCUAA
rnacentral:rRNA from 1 species